AUACUACGGCAUAGGUGAACAUUUUGUAAGAGGAGUCGUUCCAUCGUCAGCAAUAUUUAUCAUGGCCGACGCCAAUCCGCCAAAACACGUGUAACGGGACGAGAUAACACCUGACCAGGACAAGACCAGAUAACAAUCGGCGUGUUUACGUUCAUAUUUUCAUAUUUUCCUCGCCCGCCUUACCUUGAUCUCUUCUCAAACUACGCACGGAACUGCGGAAGCGUCGGCCAUGAUGAGUAUUGCCGACAACGGAACGACUCCUCUAACAAAAUGUUCACCUGUGCCGUAGUAUCGUUUUUGAAGCGGGAAGCUCAAAAUACCGCAAACUUCUUACGCAGAUUGUGAAGUUAUGAGUGCAUUUCAGACUUUGCCAAUGCGCUCAUCGUGAUUUUUGAGGCACUAUCUAUAAGAAACAACUCUAUUUUUGCUCUAGCAAAAGUUUGCAACAGGCCCAUUUUAAUUAUUUCCGUCUCGUUGGAAGUAGAAAAAACCAGAGUUGCACAACGAAGUGACGUAAACUUGAUGUGAUAACAGCAAGAGAGACAACUUAGCUAUUGAUUUUGAUCAUAUCAUUACUCGUGAGAUCGCAAGUCGUGAGACCCUAAUCCUUCACUUAUUUAGGAGCUCCCGGGUCCAUAAGAUCUUGAGUUCACUGAUAUGAUUUAGGCACUAAUUGGUUUUCAUUUUGUAAUAAGGAACCAUCAUUUCUGACAAUUCUCAAGUUAUCAAAAUCUGAAUCAAAAGAAUAGCCCCGGCUUGAAGCUAUUGUAGGCAUAGGAUCAGAUAUGGAAAGAGGCAUUGCAUGACGCCGAAUCUGUAGGGCUGGGUAGGGUGGAACGCAACAGCUCUGAAACGUUUUAUUUGAUCAGUAAUACAUUGUCUUUCAAUGUUCUCUAGUAGGAUGCUUGGUGGUACGUGGUGGUGCGUGAAUGAGAAGUCCCGACUGAAACCCCCGAUAAAUGAAGGAACCAAGAAUCCUCCUCACGUCGAUGGGCUCUGAGCAAAGUGGACUGUAUAGGGAAUGGCGGUGCCAUGACCGGAGACUCACCUCGACACCUCAUCUCUCCUCUGAACGAACAUCCGAGCCGAAAUGUGGUGGCGCUCAGCCCCUCAUCUCCCCAAAAUCUCCUCCUAUUGGGGGAUGAGACGCAAAGCUGCUGUGGGGCCCAUGCAGCGUGAGCCGCGGAACAGGUGCGAAGAAGGACCUAGCGGCAUGGGUGGUAAAUCCCCAUAAAUAAUGUAUGCACAUUAAAAUUAAGAUAAAGAAACUUAAAUUUUUUACAAAUAUAUUAUCUCAUACGACUAAAUUAAAAUAUGCUGUUGUCCCAUCAGAACGUCAAAUCAAUGUUUCAUUCGUAAACAUCGACGAACGAAGAUGAAAUUAAUUGAAAAUUUGUCGUAAAUUAAAAUAGUGUAAGUACUAAAUUGAUUCCAAAGCCACUCACCGAUAAUUUGUCACCUGGCAAAUAAUAGCUUAAUGUGAUGGGCGCCAGCCACAGAAAAGAUUUAUUAGAUAGCCGAUUUUAUUCAUAGUUCGGUUGAAAUAGUUUGUUUGUUUAAUCGGGAGGAAUGCCGUUUUUUACAGAAUACCUAGAUUAAGGAAAGUUGACACGAAGAAGUUAAUUUGGCCGGCCAGGUUGGCCUAGUGGUCAGCGCGUCUGACUCUAGGUCAAUAGGUCCCGGGUUCAAAUCCCGGUGGUGGCGACAAAUUUUCAUGGAACUGACGAGUGGAUCUGCAAGCAGAAUUCGCUCGGCCUUUAUCCCUGGAAAUUUGUAAGCCUAAAUGGCGACAAAUUUCUGUGGAACUGACGAGUGGACCUGCAAGUGGAAUUCGCUCGGCCUUGAUCCGUGAAAAUUUGUAAGCCUGAGCAUGGAUGUCUAUCUCCCUGAUGUCUAAGGACAAUAAAUAGCGUCUAUAGAUGGUUGUAGAUUCCUAAAGAUUAUAGCAAGGAAUAGGAGCCAAAAAACUCUCACAAAAAAAAAGUUAAUUUGGACGACGUUUAGCAGAAAGGAACCAAGUCACAUCAGCCAUUGUCAAAAACUGGGCAAUUUAAUUUGUACAAGAGGAUUAUUGUGCGAAUUCCUUUCAAACAUUUUACGCUCCGUACUUUGCAGAAAAUUCACUGAGAUUAGCAAGAAAAAUCCGCACAACUGUCAAAAAUUACAUGUAAAAAUUGAAUUGCCUAAUUUUUUUUUUUUUUUUUUUUUUUUUUUUUUAUAUAUAUAUAUAUAUAUAUUUUAUUUAUGAACAAAACUACAGAGUAUUAAUUGUUUUUACAUUAUAAGGUUAAAAUAUGAUUAGUAAAUGAACUUUUGAGUCUAACUUAAUAUUAGACUCUAACUUAUAACUAAAUUAUACAUAAGUACUAUGUAUAAUUGUUAAUUUAGUUGUUAGUUCCUCCCCCACGCCAGUGUCAAAAGAUGAAAAGCUGACAAAUACAAGGAAAUGUUGAAUGUUGCAUUUGGUCUGACGUUGGUGGGCAGGACAAACAAUAGCUGGAUUUUUAGAUAUAUGUAAGUUGAAUAUACAAGUGAUAGUAAGUUAAUAAUAGUAGUAGUAAAAGCCUAUCCUUAAAAUUUUAGUCUUUUUUUAUUUACAAUGCCCGAUUACUUAAUUUUAUUGCAUGAGUCAUUCGAGGAAUGAAGUUCAAGUUCCCAUUAGAUCAAAAUCUAGUUUAAUGGUCAUUAAAUUAAUGACGCCUAAUUAAAUAAGGCAAUAGCUGAUGUGACUUGGGUCCUCUCUGCUCAACGCGGUUCAUUUUAUAACACACUUUGUAGUAUUGCCCUCAAUUUUUGAGGUAAGCUAUAAAGCAUCUCGCGGGCUGCAAAACGGGCCAGUGGCACCCAUUUUUCAAAAAACAAAAUCCGUUUUCAGAAAGCACGGAGUGAACUAAGCUUCCAGGUACUUUUUGGGACUUUUUAAAAUUUAAGUGACAAAAAUGGGACCAGUUUGGAACGAUAGGUUUGGCGGGGUCUGAUGACUUAGCCAGACCUAGAGUCCCUUUAUACUGAGAGUCAAGACAAUUUAAAUCCAUUUCUGAUUGGUUCCCGUAUUUUAGGCCUCCACAGUGUCACAAACGGGAAUAAAGAUUACAUUUUCACCAAUUGCAAAGAUUUUAAUCUGGAAUGGACUAGGGAAUAACGGGUUCGGCAAGGAACAAACGGAAUGAGAGGAGGAACGGAGAAAGGCAUUUGAGAAUGGGCCGAUCAAAGAUUACGAAAAACAUCCAAUUUCUGUAAUCUUUUCCCGUUUGUGACAUCCAUGAGCCGUGUUGUCUUGACUCUCAGUAUAAAGGGACUCUAGCCAGACCCCGCCUGCUACGUUUGCUGAUUGGCGGAACUAAGCUUUGGACUUCGUCUUGCUGCGUCAACUGUCGGCUUUUGAUCGGCCGGAUUUUCAAUAAGUAUUUCUCCUCCUAGGAGCGCUUUUUAGAACUUUCUUGAAUAAUUUUUUGAAUAAUUUCUUUGAAAAAUAUCUUGAAUAACAAAAAUUGUAUGAUUCACAAAAAAAAAGAGAGAGAGUUGUAUGAGAGCUGCAAGAAGUCGAACUAAAACUAUAAUCGUAAUCUCAAAUUGUAAAUAACCAGCCCCUAAAUUGUAAUUGAAAUAAUUCCAACAUUGUUCAGAGACAUUUUGAGUAUCAAGAAUACGAUGCAAAAGUCUAAAAUUUUCUGCGUUAUUUUGGGAUUCUGAGUGCGGGUUUCAUUUCGAUGGUUUAAGUAAAAAUUUAUACGAUUUAUACGAUUCUUCACCAUAGGUUUAAAUGGCAGAACAAUCGAUAUAUCGCAAUUCACGCCACGCCACUGGUGUGCACACAUUUAAAUCGACGUGGAAAGUUCACAGAUAAUUGCAAGAGAAACUUUUGAUUAAUGUUUUCUACCAAAACAAUAAAACACGAGCGAAAAUUUCGUAUUAUCGUUAUUGGAUACACACAUUUUUCGACUUCAGCCACGGACAUGCAUGUUCUCGGAUGAAAAUUGCAUAUUUCGAUACAUUUGACAACGUCGUGCAAUUUCAUGAAAAUGGCCAAUAUUUUAUAGGUGUCUCUAGUUUCAUGCCGUCUUGUCAUCGUCUUUAAAAAAAAUAAUAAAAAAUAAGCAGGCAAUGGCAAUGUCCGCAAUGUAUGAUGUGGUCAGGGUGAUUUUGGUUGAAUUCGUCAAAUUUAUAUUAAAGCAAAAGCUCAUAGUUUUGUUUUGCUCCAUGUCGGGGUACAAAACAUCGUAAAAAACAUUCGACAGUUGCCAAACGAACACAAAAAAUGUCACUGCCACUCCUCUGACUCUAAUAUAAAACUAAGAUGGCCAACAGUGUUCAAAAAUGAGCUUUCUGUCGCAAAAAUAAGUGACUUUAUGUGAAAACUAAGUCAAAUGUGUGCUGUACAGACGAUGGAUUGUAAGUUGUAACAAUGAUUGCCUCAAUUAAAAUGUUUAUUUAAGAAGCGUUAUUAAUUUUUUCUCUUGAUAUUUCAAACAACAUGUCGAUCAAAUUGUGAAUAAAAUUCUCUAAAAAAUCAGAGAAAAAAUAUUCACAGAUAUCCCUAAACAUAUAUCCAAGGAAAUUUGGCAACAUCUGAAGCUUCAUACGGCGUUCUUCUUCAGAGAAGUAAAAGACUUCUCGGAAUGAUACGCAGGAACGUCAUUUUUCCCCAGUUCAGAGCUAUCGGGUGGGUGGAGUCACGCUCUGAAAGUGUGCGAGGUAUCCAUUGCGAUUGGGGGAUGAUAAUCGCGGGGGCGGGGUGGCCGAAGAGCAAGCGCUUUUCCGCGUAACAUGCGGUCUUGUUUUCGUUCACUACCCCCGUGCAAUUCCAGUUUAUUCAUAGGUGAAAAAGCU
rnacentral:lncRNA from 1 species